UCCCGUGUGGCUCAGUUGGUAGAGCAUGGUGUUUGCAACGCCAGGGUUGUGGGUUCGAUUCCAAAGUGGGAC
rnacentral:tRNA from 1 species